AACACAGAGACACAGGCGCCGCACAGCCAAUAAAAUCGAAGGCAGUGAACUGAAUCCCCUGACACACCCACUCCCAAGUCCCAACAAUGUUCCAUUUCAAACUACUCUACUCUGCUCACUACUCUCCUUCAAAUAUACUCCUUCGACUUUGCUAUUUCUCCUCAGAUCCAUAUAAUCUCCAUUGUUAAUCCCUUGCUCUUCCUUCCAAGAAUUCGAUGAACCAUAACGCUCGACCUCGGUAUCCACCGGGGAUCGGUAAUGGUCGCGGCAGACAUUACACGCAACAAAACCCUAAUUUUCAGAGUCGGCCACCGUAUAAUCAUCAGCAACACCAUAAUCAACCUCACUACAUGCAGAAGAAUUCGCCGCAGCAGAAUCAGUAUCAUAAUCAACAACAGCAGCAACAACAACAAUGGAUGAUGAGACGUCCUGCUAAUUAUUAUGCUGCUGCUGCUACUACUACCUCUGUUGUCGAUUCAACUCAGUCUACUUUUAAUGAAGUUGACGAGACUGUUCAAGCACCUCAAUCUGCUGAUUCUAGCUCUCAAAAUUGGAAGGCUAGUCUUAAGCUUCCACCUCAAGACACGCGUUACAAGACAGAGGAUGUCACUGCUACAAAGGGAAAUGAGUUCGAGGAUUAUUUCUUGAAACGUGAAUUACUUAUGGGAAUAUAUGAGAAGGGGUUUGAACGUCCUUCUCCUAUUCAAGAAGAAAGUAUCCCAAUUGCUUUGACCGGAAGUGAUAUUCUUGCUAGAGCUAAAAAUGGAACUGGCAAAACAGCUGCAUUUUGCAUUCCAGCAUUGGAAAAAAUUGAUCAAGACAACAAUGUGAUUCAAGCGGUUAUACUUGUUCCCACUAGAGAGUUAGCCCUACAAACAUCACAAGUUUGCAAGGAGCUUGGCAAGCAUCUGAAGAUUGAGGUCAUGGUUACAACAGGAGGGACAAGUUUGAAGGAUGAUAUUAUGCGUUUGUACAACCCAGUGCAUUUACUUGUUGGAACACCUGGUAGAAUACUGGAUUUGGCAAAGAAGGGUAUAUGUGUUUUGAAGGACUGCUCCAUGCUUAUAAUGGAUGAGGCUGACAAACUUCUGUCCCCUGAAUUCCAACCAUCGGUGGAGCAGAUGAUUCGCUUUCUGCCUGAAAAUAGGCAGAUUUUGAUGUUUUCAGCUACUUUUCCUGUAACUGUCAAGGAUUUCAAAGAAAGAUAUUUGCAAAAGCCCUACGUCAUUAACCUUAUGGAUGAGCUUACUCUCAAAGGUAUUACGCAAUAUUAUGCUUUUGUUGAAGAACGACAGAAGGUCCAUUGCCUGAACACACUUUUCUCAAAGCUGCAAAUAAAUCAAUCCAUUAUUUUUUGCAACUCUGUGAAUCGAGUAGAGUUGUUGGCCAAGAAAAUUACGGAGCUCGGUUAUUCUUGCUUUUACAUUCAUGCUAAAAUGAUCCAGGACCAUCGAAACAGAGUUUUUCAUGAUUUCCGCAAUGGUGCAUGCAGAAAUCUUGUUUGCACAGAUCUGUUUACCAGAGGUAUAGACAUUCAAGCCGUAAAUGUUGUUAUCAAUUUUGAUUUCCCAAAGAAUUCUGAAACCUAUUUGCACAGAGUUGGCCGUUCUGGAAGAUAUGGACACCUUGGAUUGGCUGUUAAUCUAAUUACAUAUGAAGAUUGCUUUAACUUGCACAAAAUAGAACAAGAGCUUGGGACUGAAAUCAAGCAAAUUCCUCCGCACAUAGAUAAGGGUAUCUAUUGUCAUUGAAAAAUCAUACAGUGUCAAAUGUGAUUUAUGUGUGGAAAAAGCUAGCAAACUUUAUCAAGGUGCGGCAGGAGACAGCUGCUAAUUUGUGAGAUGAUAUUGAGGGCUGUCCAUGGUACAUUGGUACUCCUUGGAAACAAGUGAAGUUCAAAAUGCUUAUACAGUCAUCUGAAGAUCAGAUUACCAAGCAGUGAAAAAGGCUUAUGUAACUUUGUGAUCUUGAUCAGAGAGCCCUUCUUGGGAUCUAAAAGUGGAUUGCUUCACUUCUUGGUCGACCCUUCUGAGGACUUUGAAAACUUAGGAGACAACGUAGAUUACUCCGGUAGCUUUGUUACGGAUAGGGAAUUUGAUUCCUUAGAUGAAUUACAUAGUUGAGCCGAUGCGAUAGCAAUAAUAAUUGGUUUUCAAUUUACACGUGCUUCUUAUAAAAAAAAGGUGGAUGUUUUAGAGUUAGUGUGUAUUUAAAAUGUCACCGCUAUGGUAAUAUUAGGGGUGAUUUACAUAAUCUAGAUAAUACUGUCCGACCUGGUAUUAAAAGUAGAAGUUGCGGGUGUAAAUUUUUGAUUGUAGCAAGUAGUCGUAAACCAGGAGAAAGACCUUGGACGGUAAGGGUGUCUCCUGGUGAAAAAAAAAAGACAUAACCACUCGUUCUUUGUGUAAGAGAUGGUCAUGUAAGAACAAAUAGGAUCAAUAUAGAUAUUCGGGAGCACAUACGACAGCUUAGUGCAACCGGCAUGCAACCGGCUUUUAUCAUGACUUCUAUUAGACAAAAUUUUCUUGGUUUUUUUACUAGUAUGAAUCAGAUUUAUAAUGCCAGGCAAUCAAUAAGGAGGGAAGAGAUGGAGGGUAGAACUCCCUUUCAACACUGUCUUUAUAUGGCCACAGAACUUAAUUAUGUGGUUUGAACAGACUUGGAUAAUGAAGGGGGAUUGAGCAGAUUAUUAAUUGUAAAUUCUACCUCUUUCCAAAUGAUACGUACGUGGCCGUAUGUUGUGUUGAUAGAUACAAUGUACAAAACAAACAAACAAAAGUGGCCACUGUGUGAAGUGAUCGGAAUGACGCCAACCAAUCACAACUUCUUGGUUACGUUCUGUUUGAUGCGGGAUGAGGCGGUUGUGUCGUAUUCGUGGGUGUUGCAUGGAUUGAGAGAUAUUUUUGGCACAGCUCAGACUCCUAGCGUCAUUGUAACCGAUCGAGACGAGGGUUUAUUUGCAGUUAUUCGUGACGUCUUCCCAGAUGUACGGCAUUUAUUAUGCAUUUGGCAUAUUGGAAACAACGUUGAGAACAUGAUGGACAAGUUGUGUGGCGGGAAAAGAAAUCAACAAGGGCAAGUAUUCAGGAAAAGUAGAUGGAACCCCUUGGUUAAAAGUUCUACAAUCGACGAAUUUAAAGAGAGAUGGCAAGCGAUCGUGAAUACCUGGUCGGUUAGGAACAAAAAGGUCAUUUGGUAUUUGGCUGGAACAUUGAUUCCACUUAGAGAGAAAUUUGUACGUGUGUGGACCAAUGAAUGUUUACACAUGGGUAACCAGACUACCAGCAGAGUUGAAAGCCAACACUCGUCUUUCAAGUAUUAUCUUGGUAGCGGUAAUAGCUUAUUUGAUACCCUAUUCAAAAGGGCACACGCACAGAUUACAAACCAGCAAGCCAGGAUCCGACAAGCGCUACAGGAAUCCAUGAAUUCUGUAGCAAGGUCGUUGCGACAACAUUUCUUCAGAACUUUAUAUCGCCACGUAUCUAUCUAUGCCUUGGAGCAGCUGCGGCUUGAGCAUAACCGUAUGUUAGAUUUGGGUGAUUAUAUACUUAACAAAUGCGGUUGUGUACUUCAACGCACCCAUGGAUUGCCGUGUGCUUGUUAUUUAUAUAUGUCCAUCGGUUUACAAGGUGCUUUGUAUUUGGAUGACAUUCGUCCAUUCUGGAGUACUUUGACGUAUACAGAGGUAGGAGAUGACACCAACGAAGGAGUAAGAAACGUGAACGCCGAUGACAAAGAGUACUUUUAAUUGUUGGUCGAUGAAGUCCUAAAAUCCGAUCCCGCAGUUGUACGAAUCUUGUCUCAGGUACUUGAGUAUGAACUACACCCUGAUGGAGCCGAUAUACCUGAGCCUUACGCGAGUCCACCUAGAAAGGGAAGACCAAUCACAAGCAAAACCCUUAGAAGAAAUAAAAGCGCAUUUAAAUAUAGCAAAUCAUCUUCUCGAGGUCGAGGGUCUACAUCUUCAUCCCGCGGGAGAUCUAGUGGUAGAUCUAGUGGUUGAGAAACGCAAUCCUCAGUUGGAAUUAAGUUUAGUUUUAACUUAUCCGAUGAACCAGGAGGUCGUGAUUUUUCACAGUUUCCAUGGCUUAAUCACAUCCCGUACAUUCUUCCUCCUUACUUGUUUGAUUGGAUUGAUAUGGUAGGUGAUGGUAACUGUGGAUUUAUAGCUAUUGCCGCCACAGAGUUGGGAGGCGAGGAGGCAUGGCCUCUUCUAAGAUGUGCUAUGUGUAUGGAAAUGCAAAUGAACAGAGAACAAUACCUAACUUUGUAUCUAAGCAGGAGUUGUUAGAUGAUGCUAUAUUCAGAAUUGGUUCACACAGCAAUAGACCUGCUCCUUAUAUUCACUGGAUGGAUGCACCGAUGGCAUUGUACUGUGCAACAACGUUUCAUAACGUUGGCAUUGCUUAUUAUGGUUUUGUUGACGGUAAUCCGCAAUACAACUGUUUGGUUCUUCUGUUAAGGAAAGCACCGGGCAUGCAUGGUGUAAAUAAAGUUAUACAUAUAUGUUGGGUGAAUGGAAAUCAUUUUGUUCAACUAUUAAUGAACAACGAUUCAUCCCCACUACCGCCAGUCCAUCGACGUUGGUGAGAAGCAGUUGACAAUUUUUCCAAACAUAUAGAAACACAUUUUAGGCGUAGGAUUAUGCUUUGGAAUAAACUAUGCAGGCCAAAACCACCACAACGUAAUAAUACCGCUGAAGAUGCUGUAAAUUUAAAUAGUCCAUAGUGUAA